rnacentral:lncRNA from 1 species
AACAAACCCUGAUAAUCUCACCCAGCUUCAAGACCAAGGGAGUCCUAGUGUCAUGGAGAAGAGCAAGGAGGGGCCCAGGGCUGCCGGACAUGCCACUCCAGACAGAACUCAACUUCCCUAGUGACUAUUGGCUAUCCAACCUCUCCUCCAGAAGAUAGAUGUCUACCAACUAGGAAGAGAGCCCUCACCAGGAACCAAAUCUGCUGACACCUGGAUCUUGAACUUCCC